GAGUGAGCGUGCUUACACACUAAAAUUGGAACAAUGCAAAGAUUAGCCUGGCCCCCUAGGCAAGGAUGACAUAUAAAUUCAUGAAGUAUUCCACAUUACA
ensembl:snRNA U6 U6 spliceosomal RNA